rnacentral:rRNA from 1 species
ACGAACGCUGGCGGCAUGCCUAACACAUGCAAGUCGAACGAGACCUUCGGGUCUAGUGGCGCACGGGUGCGUAACGCGUGGGAACCUGCCCUUAGGUUCGGAAUAACUCCCCGAAAGGGGUGCUAAUACCGGAUAAUGUCUUCGGACCAAAGAUUUAUCGCCUUUGGAUGGGCCCGCGUUGGAUUAGCUAGUUGGUAGGGUAAAAGCCUACCAAGGCGACGAUCCAUAGCUGGUCUGAGAGGAUGAUCAGCCACACUGGGACUGAGACACGGCCCAGACUCCUACGGGAGGGCGGAGUGGGGGAUAUUGGACAAUGGGGGGAAGGCUGAUGCAGCAAUGCCGGGUGAGUGAUGGAGGCCUUAGGGUUGUAAAGCUCUUUUACCCGGGAUGAUAAUGACAGUACCGGGAGAAUAAGCUCCGGCUAACUCCGUG